GAGUACAGUCUAUGUUAUAAAACCAGAACAUAUUUUUGGUAAGAGUUCAUUAGUGCAGUAUUACCUAUGUAGGCCUUUGAACAUGCCUUCCGGGUUUUUAUUUAUCGAUCUUUGAAGGAGGACACUAAAACAGGUUUUAGUUGGAAGAAUACUUUUUCAACAGCUCCCUGACAGCAUAUUAAGCCUUUAUCUGACUUUGGAAUUGGACAAUGAACAACAUUUGGCACAACCCAGAGUGAGGCUCAGAAUGAGGAGAAUCCAGGCGUCAAGCCCCUCUGAGGUUGAGAAUUGUGAUGAACGGCAUCCUCACCAACCUCUAACUAUCUCACAACAAUGUGAAGAAAACCCAUUUGCUUUCAAUAUAGAAGUGUAUUAUGAAAAUCUGCACUUUCCUCGGAGGAGGUGUACUCCAUUUAACAUCCCAGCCAUAAUUCAGAACAACCAUAUGGAGUCAACCAUGCUUGAAAACAGCAGCUCCAUCGCAAUAGAACCAUCUCCAGACUGUGUCCAGGCAGCUCGACCUCAUAACGAAGGCUCUUCCUCACAGCAUUCACCUCAACACCAGCUACUUUGAUGAUGGUGUUGCCCAUCAGGUGUUGCCUCUCUUCCCCAUCAUCCCCCGUGUAUUUAUACCUGUGUUCUGUCUGUCUGUUGCCAGUUCGUCUUGCUUGUCAAGCCUGCCAGCAUUUUUUGUCUCAUCUACUGCUUCUCCCCAGUCUCUCUUUUUCUCGCCCUCCUGAUUUUGACCCUUGCCUGUCCCAUCUCCGAGCCCGCCUGCCCGACCACUCUGCCUGCCCCUGACCCUGAGCCUGCCUGCCGUCCUGUACCAUUGCCCCACCUCUGGAUUACCAACCUCUGCCUGACCUGACCCUGACCCUGAG